CAGGAGACAUCUUUGGUGCUCUGCUCGUUCACGUGGUCAGUGUCUAAGGGAGGAUAUGUGGAGCCAACAGCCACAGUCUAGGAGAUGGCAGCUGGCACAUCUACCUACAGUCCUGGUCACCUCUCCGCUCCUGUUUGACAGGGAAGUGUUGCUGAGUCUUUGCAGCAUCCCCUCUACAGCCUGCCUCACUCCGCGUAGCUCUGAAGAUCUGGCUCAGAGAAAUCAGAGGGCCGAGCUGCCUCCCAGCUUC
rnacentral:lncRNA from 1 species